rnacentral:rRNA from 1 species
AGUUGGUGAGGUAAAGGCUCACCAAGGCGACGAUCUGUAGCGGGUCUGAGAGGAUGAUCCGCCACACUGGAACUGAGACACGGUCCAGACUCCUACGGGAGGCAGCAGUGGGGAAUUUUGGACAAUGGGCGCAAGCCUGAUCCAGCCAUGCCGCGUGAGUGAAGAAGGCCUUCGGGUUGUAAAGCUCUUUCAGCCGGGAAGAAAACGCAUGGGUUAAUACCCUGUGUGGAUGACGGUACCGGAAUAAGAAGCACCGGCUAACUACGUGCCAGCAGCCGCGGUAAUACGUAGGGUGCGAGCGUUAAUCGGAAUUACUGGGCGUAAAGCGUGCGCAGGCGGUUUGUUAAGAUAGGCGUGAAAUCCCCGGGCUCAACCUGGGAACUGCGUUUAUGACUGGCAAGCUAGAGUAUGGCAGAGGGGGGUGGAAUUCCACGUGUAGCAGUGAAAUGCGUAGAGAUGUGGAGGAACACCGAUGGCGAAGGCAGCCCCCUGGGCCAAUACUGACGCUCAUGCACGAAAGCGUGGGUAGCAAACAGGAUUAGAUACCCUGGUAGUCCACGCCCUAAACGAUGUCAACUAGGUGUUGGGAGGGUAAAACCUUUUAGUACCGGAGCUAACGCGUGAAGUUGACCGCCUGGGGAGUACGGCCGCAAGGUUAAAACUCAAAGGAAUUGACGGGGACCCGCACAAGCGGUGGAUGAUGUGGAUUAAUUCGAUGCAACGCGAAAAACCUUACCUACCCUUGACAUGUCCGGAAGCCCUUAGAGAUUUGGGUGUGCUCGAAAGAGAGCCGGAACACAGGUGCUGCAUGGCUGUCGUCAGCUCGUGUCGUGAGAUGUUGGGUUAAGUCCCGCAACGAGCGCAACCCUUGUCGUUAAUUGCCAUCAUUUAGUUGGGCACUUUAACGAGACUGCCGGUGACAAACCGGAGGAAGGUGGGGAUGACGUCAAGUCCUCAUGGCCCUUAUGGGUAGGGCUUCACACGUCAUACAAUGGUCGGUACAAAGGGUCGCCAACCCGCGAGGGGGAGCCAAUCCCAGAAAGCCGAUCGUAGUCCGGAUCGUAGGCUGCAACUCGCCUGCGUGAAGUCGGAAUCGCUAGUAAUCGUGGAUCAGCAUGUCACGGUGAAUACGUUCCCGGGUCUUGUACACACCGCCCGUCACACCAUGGGAGCGGGUUCCGCCAGAAGUAGGUAGCCUAACCGCAAGGAGGGCGCUUACCACGGCGGGGUUCGUGACUGGGGUGAAGUCGUAACAAGGUAGCCGUAGGGGAACCUGCGGCUG